CUGAAUAAAAUGAAUACUCGCUCCUCCAAGGAGCAAGGGAGCCGCUCGCCCGCAGCCACUUCACGCGCGGAUUGAAAGGGGCUGGUCAUUUGAACCGCUUUCAGAGCACCUGCAAACCUCUCCACCUUGAGCAAAAGAUAAGAUGACUACUCUGUUGAAGAUCUACCUAGGACUGCAGAAAGUGGCCCCAAUACUCUACUAUACAGUAAGAAUACCAUAUAAUGUAAAGUGAACCUUGAUUAAGGUUACUGCCUAAAACGGAUUGUCAACACAGGAUCUUUCAAUGCAUUACCCUUAUUCCUGUUCUUAUAGUUCACCUGAAUGGAAUUUUGAUAGACUUUAAAAAACACAUUAAUAAUUACAUGGGAAAAGAAAGUGUCAGAAUCAGAUAGAAGUUCUUCACAUGGUACGUUUCUCUUCAUUUCAUUCUCCCCUCUGUAGUGGCUUCAUUCCAUUAAAGCAGGCCUUGUCCAUAACUGUCAGGCUCUGUACAACAAUUUCAGGCAGAGUUUUUUGGGUCACUCGGCUUUGACCAUCUUGGAUCCUGUUGUUUUGUGUGAGGCUGGGCUCUGACAGGCUGACAUGAUUGCUGCUGCCUUUUCUUCUGCCUCUUCUGAGCUUCUCUGCACGAGACCCAGCUUGGAGCCCCUGCCCUGCACAUCUGUAUUGUGUAAGAGAAUGCCAAAGAAAAAUACAGGAUGUAAUAAGGUGAGUCUUCUGGAG